UGAGUAACGCGUAUCCAACCUGCCGUCUACUCUUGGACAGCCUUCUGAAAGGAAGAUUAAUACAAGAUGGCAUCAUGAGUCCACAUGUUCACAUGAUUAAAGGUAUUCCGGUAGACGAUGGGGAUGCGUUCCAUUAGAUAGUAGGCGGGGUAACGGCCCACCUAGUCUUCGAUGGAUAGGGGUUCUGAGAGGAAGGCCCCCCACAUUGGAACUGAGACACGGUCCAA
rnacentral:rRNA from 1 species